rfam:Brachypodium distachyon strain Bd21 chromosome 1, whole genome shotgun sequence.
CAUCUACUCCUUCCGUCCCAUAAUUCUUGUCUCAAAAUUAUCCAAAAAUGGAUGUAUCUAUUCCUAAAAACCGUCUAGAUACAUUUAAUAUUUCGACAAGAAUUAUGGGACGGAGGGAGUAGAUU